rnacentral:tRNA from 1 species
GGGUCGAUGCCCGAGUGGUUAAUGGGGACGGACUGUAAAUU